rnacentral:tRNA from 1 species
AGGCUUGUAGCUCAGGUGGUUAGAGCGCACCCCUGAUAAGGGUGAGGUCGGUGGUUCAAGUCCACUC